rnacentral:rRNA from 1 species
AACGAACGCUGGCGGCAUGCCUAACACAUGCAAGUCGAACGAGACCUUCGGGUCUAGUGGCGCACGGGUGCGUAACGCGUUGGAACCUGCCCUUAGGUUCGGAAUAACUCCCCGAAAGGGGUGCUAAUACCGGAUAAUGUCUUCGGACCAAAGAUUUAUCGCCUUUGGAUGGGCCCGCGUUGGAUUAGCUAGUUUGUAGGGUAAAAGCCUACCAAGGCGACGAUCCAUAGCUGGUCUGAGAGGAUGAUCAGCCACACUGGGACUGAGACACGGCCCAGACUCCUACGGGAGGCAGCAGGGGGGAAUAUUGGACAAUGGGCGAAAGCCUGAGCCAGCAAUGCCGCGUGAGUGAUGAAGGAAUUAGGGUUGUAAAGCUCUUUUACCCGGGAUGAUAAUGACAGUACCGGGAGAAUAAGCUCCGGCUAACUCCGUG